ACCAGACUCCUACGGGAGGCAGCAGUGGGGGAUAUUGCACAAUGGGGGGAACCCUGAUGCAGCGACGCCGCGUGGGUGAAGAAGCGCCUCGGCGCGUAAAGCCCUGUCAGCAGGGAAGAAAAUGACGGUACCUGAAGAAGAAGCCCCGGCUAACUACGUGCCAGCAGCCGCGGUAAUACGUAGGGGGCAAGCGUUAUCCGGAUUUACUGGGUGUAAAGGGGGCGCAGACGGCGAUGCAAGCCAGGAGUGAAAGCCCGGGGCCCAACCCCGGCACUGCUCUUGGAACUGCGUGGCUGGAGUGCAGGAGGGGCAGGCGGAAUUCCUGGUGUAGCGGUGAAAUGCGUAGAUAUCAGGAGGAACACCGGUGGCGAAGGCGGCCUGCUGGACUGCAACUGACGUUGAGGCCCGAAAGCGUGGGGAGCAAACAGGAUUAGAUACCCGGGUA
rnacentral:rRNA from 1 species